rnacentral:rRNA from 1 species
AACGAACGCUGGCGGCAUGCUUAACACAUGCAAGUCGAACGAGACCUUCGGGUCUGGUGGCGCACGGGUGCGUAAAGCGUGGGAUACUGCCUUUAGGCUCGGCAUAACUUCCCGAAAGGGGUGCCAAAACCGGUUCUUGUCCCCGGACCAAAGUUUUAUCGCGUUUGGAUGGGCCCGCGAUGUCUUACCUAGUUAGUAGGGUAAAACCCUAUAACGGCGACGUGCCAUAGCUGGGCUGAGAGGAUGAGCAGCCACUCUGGGCCUGGGACACGGCCCAGACUCCUACGGGAGGCAGCAGUGGGGAAUACUCGACUAUGGGCGAAAGCCUGAUCCAGCAAUGCCUCGUGAGUUAUGAAGGCAUUAGGGUUGUAAAGCGCUUUUACCCGGGAUGAUAAUGACAGUACCGGAAGAAUAAGCUCCGGCUAACUCCGUG